AAGGUUAACGGCGAAAAAAGCACAGCAGCGGCGACGGCACACGAAGGCUUACGGUAGAAGCUGGUGGACGGCGGUGAUCUGUGCGAGCUAGGGUCAUGAUUAAGCUUUCUCUGUAAAUUUAGUUCUGAACUGGCAGCCGAACAAUAAAGGCAUAUUUCACUAAUCAAGCAUCAUUUAAUACAGCCGAUGCUAAGACCCUGCUAUCGGCCAUAUCUUGAUUAAACAAAGGAAGCCAAUUGGGAUACGUCACAAGUCGUGGCCACCACCCGGUCUCGAUCCGCACUCGGCACUACUCAACGGCAACCGAGGCGAGCACCAAGUGACUGGUCGUUGUGGGCAGCAACUAGCCGCAACACCUAUCCCGGAACCAACAACUACGUGAGCACCACGUGCCACGGUGACAACCCCCUGCAGGAAGCGUGCAGGCGGUGGACAUUGCGGGCAACUACCUUGCCGCAUUAUCUCAACAGUGACGUAAUCACUGAUCGUGGCCACCACCCGGUCCCGAUCUGCAUUCGGCAUCACUCUACGGAUUCCGAGGCGAGAGAAUAUCGCGGGCAACUACCUUGCCGCGGUAUAUUAAAAACCUUAUCUGGCGCCCAACCAAGUCGACGACCCCGACAAGGAAACCGAAUCUGGAAGGCUCGAGUUAAAAUAAUAUAAAUCAAAAAUUAGAAUCCUAGAACGGACUGUUCGGGAUAGCAGAGAAGACCACAAAACUGAAUUCCGGCGGAUCAUAGCUUCAUAUAGACAAAUUUGCACACACCGGCCUGAUACCACGCUUUGAUGAGGACACAUUACCUGCAGACUAUAGGUCGGCUCAGCCAAGCGACCUAGCACCAACUACUUAGUGCCAAUUUCAACGAUCCCCCAGGCAUGAUGACCACCGCAACGAAACGCAUCCAGAUACCACCCGCUUCCAGGCCUGCCCUUUCUUCACCAUUUAAAUAAAGAAAGCCUGCAGCAUAUAACGGAGUUGCAAAUGCUGGCAAUCAGAGGCCAUCUGCACCAGCGUCAAUCUGCUUUACGUCCUGCGAAAUAAUAAAGAUGUAAAAGCAGAGCUUCGAUUGCGGUAACACAAGUCCUUGCUAACAUUGACAUGGCCGAGGACGCCCAUUUUUGAAAAGAAGGGGAGUAGUUAACAACACAAAGGUUAACGGCGAAAAAAGCACAGCAGCGGCGACGGCACACGAAGGCUUACGGUAGAAGCUGGUGGACGGCGGUGAUCUGUGCGAGCUAGGGUCAUGAUUAAGCUUUCUCUGUAAAUUUAGUUCUGAACUGGCAGCCGAACAAUAAAGGCAUAUUUCACUAA